rnacentral:misc_RNA from 1 species
ACAAACUUGGUCAUUUAGAGGAAGUAAAAGUCGUAACAAGGUAACCGUAGGUGAACCUGCGGUUGGAUCAUUAAUAAAUUUAAUUAAAGAGGGGAGCAAUCCCCUUCUUUAAACACCAUGUGCACUGGUGGGCAGGUUUUUGCUUGCUCACUGUAUUAACUCAUUGCUUUCUUUUGGACUUUUGUUUAAAAUUUCUAAUUUUAACAACUUUUGGCAACGGAUCUCUUGGUUCUCGCAUCGAUGAAGAACGCAGC